CUGGUUGAUCCUGCCGGCGGCCACCGCUAUUGGAAUACGAUUAAGACAUGCGAGUCGAGAGACGUAAGGUCUCGGCGGACCGCUCAGUAACACGUGGAUAACAUGCCCUAAGGUGGGGGAUAAUCUCGGGAAACUGAGGAUAAUACCCCAUAGGUCUGAUCUGCUGGAAUGCUUUCAGGCCGAAAACUCCGGUGCCUUAGGAUUGGUCUGCGGUCUAUCAGGCAGUAGUGGGUGUAACGGACCCACUAGCCCGUGACGGAUAUGGGCCUUGAGAGAGGGAGCCCAGAGAUGGACUCUGAGACAUGAGUCCAGGCCCUACGGGGCGCAGCAGUCGCGAAAACUUCGCAAUGGGGGCAACCCCGACGAGGGAAUUCCAAGUGCCAGCACUUUGUGUUGGCUGUUCUCCUGUCUAAAAAACAGGAGGAGUAAGGGGCGGGUAAGACGGGUGCCAGCCGCCGCGGUAAUACCCGCGCCCCUAGUGGUGGUCGAUAUUAUUGAGCCUAAAACGUCCGUAGCCGGUCUUUUAAAUCCUUGGGUAAAUCGGGCAGCUUAACUGUCCGAAGUCCGGGGAGACUGGAAGACUUGGGACCGGGAGAGGUCAGAGGUACUUCUGGGGUAGGGGUAAAAUCCUGUAAUCCUGGAAGGACCACCGGUGGCGAAGGCGUCUGACUAGAACGGAUCCGACGGUGAGGGACGAAGCCCUGGGGCGCAAACGGGAUUAGAUACCCCGGUAGUCCAGGGUGUAAACGCUGCGGGCUUGGUGUUGGGGGUCCUUAGUGGGCGCCCAGUGCCGGAGAGAAGUUGUUAAGCCUGCUGCUUGGGGAGUAUGUCCGCAAGGAUGAAACUUAAAGGAAUUGGCGGGGGAGCACCGCAACGGGAGGAGCGUGCGGUUCAAUUGGAUUCAACGCCGGG
rnacentral:rRNA from 1 species